UACGAAGGGGGCUAGCGUUGUUCGGAUUUACUGGGCGUAAAGCGCACGUAGGCGGAUUGUUAAGUCGGGGGUGAAAUCCUGGAGCUCAACUUCAGAAUUGCCUUCGAUACUGGCUUUCUAGAGGCUGGAAGAGGUUAGUGGAAUUCCCAGUGUAGAGGUGAAAUUCGUAGAUAUUCGGAAGAACACCAGUGGCGAAGGCGGCUCACUGGACUGGUAUUGACGCUGAGGUACGAAAGCGUGGGGAGCAAACAGG
rnacentral:rRNA from 1 species